rnacentral:rRNA from 1 species
GAUGAACGCUGGCGGCGUGCCUAAUACAUGCAAGUCGAGCGAACAGACGAGGAGCUUGCUCCUCUGACGUUAGCGGCGGACGGGUGAGUAACACGUGGAUAACCUACCUAUAAGACUGGGAUAACUUCGGGAAACCGGAGCUAAUACCGGAUAAUAUAUUGAACCGCAUGGUUCAAUAGUGAAAGACGGUUUUGCUGUCACUUAUAGAUGGAUCCGCGCCGCAUUAGCUAGUUGGUAAGGUAACGGCUUACCAAGGCAACGAUGCGUAGCCGACCUGAGAGGGUGAUCGGCCACACUGGAACUGAAACACGGUCCAGACUCCUGCGGGAGGCAGCAGUAGGGAAUCUUCCGCAAUGGGCGAAAGCCUGACGGAGCAGCGCCGCGUGAGUGAUGAAGGUCUUCGGAUCGUAAAACUCUGUUAUUAGGGAAGAACAAAUGUGUAAGUAACUAUGCACGUCUUGACGGUACCUAAUCAGAAAGCCACGGCUAACUACGUG